rnacentral:pre_miRNA from 1 species
UGAUGAUGAUGAUGGUGAUGAUGAUGAUGAUGAUGAUGAUGAUGAUGAUGAUGAUGAUGAUUAUCGUCAUCGUCAUCACCACCGUUACCCUCACCU